GGUAACAGUCACUAACAGUCACAGGGUGUGGCAUUGGGUGACCCUGCACAUCAGAUUAGCUGGGGCACAUGUGGCAGAGGCAGGCGGGCCCUGUCCAAGCAUGCUCACAUGGACAUAGUAGGGACUUGGACCCAGAGACAUGGCUCUAUUCAACACAUUCCAUCUUUCCUGUAGCUACUUGAAUACAGAAUAUACGAUUUUAACACCCUGAACUUCUCUACCACUUCCAUGUCCUGUGGUACUGCUGGUUCACUUUCUAUGGAUGACUACUUUUCCUCAUUAUGGAGACCACUGCUUCCUACUUCCUUGGGAUGUGGAGACAGAAGAAUGGGUAAAAAGAAGUGUGGCCUGUAUGUACAGUGGAAUGCUAUGAUUCGUCCAUAAGAAAGAAUGAAAACUUGCCCUUUGCGACAACAUGGGUGGAUCCUGAGGGCAUCAGGAUAAGUGAAAUACAGCGUGUUCUUGGCGUUGUCUCUGGAGAUGGUGAAUCGGCCCUUCACGGAGUCUGCGUAGCUUGUGCUACCUCCACUACUACUAAUAUACGCGACCCACUGCAGCCCCUUUCCUGGAGCCUGGUGGACCCAGUUCAUGCUGGAACUACUGAAGGUGAAUCCAGAGGCUACACCGUUGACUUCAUGUCCAGCUGAGUGUGAGGAAGGUCUGGGCCUCAUGUUCUGUGGAGGAGGUGCAGAGACAGGUGGAUCCAGUGGAUGAUUCCUUAACUCCUUCAGUAGAAUGGACCCCUGGCUGACCGUUUUGUAAGACUUGACUCAGUGUGCCUCCCCACUGGUUGUCUCUGGCUUCCUGAACUGGAUGGAGAACAAAAGGAGUGAAGGGUAGAAACUACUCUUUUCUCUCACAGGAACGUGUAUACACUGAGAUUCCUUGAGAAAAAGUCGCGGAGUUGAUGAAGAUGCUGUGGGGAUUCGACAACCACAAGGGUCUUUCCUCAUGGUCUCUCUUCAUGGGCAUCAAAGGAAAACCUUAAGGAAAGUAAAAGGAGAGAGGAGCUGCUCAAAUAUAUUAAAUUUAGAUCA